GCCGGAGUGGCGGAAUGGCAGACGCACAGGACUUAAAAUCCUGCGGGGGCGACCCCGUACCGGUUCGAGUCCGGUCUUCGGCACCA
rnacentral:tRNA from 1 species